rnacentral:rRNA from 1 species
CUAGCGGCAGGCUUAACACAUGCAAGUCGAGGGGCAGCGCGGGAUAGCAAUAUCCUGGCGGCGACCGGCGGAAGGGUGCGUAACGCGUGAGCGACAUGCCCGUUGCCCGGGGACAACCGGUGGAAACGCCGACUAAUCCCCGAUGGGAUACGAUGCUUCAUGGCAUUGUAUUGAAAGUUACGGCGGCGACGGAUUGGCUCGCGUCCGAUUAGCUUGUUGGCGGGGUAACGGCCCACCAAGGCUGCGAUCGGUAGGGGUUCUGAGAGGAAGGCCCCCCACAAUGGGACUGAGACACGGCCCAUACUCCUACGGGAGGCAGCAGUGAGGAAUAUUGGUCAAUGGGCGGAAGCCUGAACCAGCCAUGCCGCGUGCGGGAAGGAGGCCCUAUGGGCUGUGAACCGCUUUUGCCUGGGGGCAAUAAGGGCGUCGCGCACGUCCGAUGAGAGUACCAGGCGAAUAAGCAUCGGCUAACUCCGUGCCAGCAGCCGCGGUAAUACGGGGGAUGCGAGCGUUAUCCGGAUUCAUUGGGUUUAAAGGGUGCGUAGGCUGUGCGUCAAGUCGGGGGUGAAAUUCCGGUGCUCAACACCGGGGCUGCCCUUGAUACUGUCGCGCUGGAGUGCGGAUGCCGCCGGAGGAAUGAGUGGUGUAGCGGUGAAAUGCUUAGAUAUCACUCAGAACACCGAUUGCGAAGGCAUCUGGCGAAUCCGUAACUGACGCUGAGGCACGAAAGCGUGGGGAUAGAACAGGAUUAGAUACCCUGGUAUUCCACGCCGUAAACGAUGAUGGCUAACCGCCGGCGACACACUGUCGGUGGCCAAGCGAAAGCGAUAAGCCAUCCACCUGGGGAGUACGUCGGCAACGAUGAAACUCAAAGGAAUUGACGGGGGCCCGCACAAGCGGAGGAACAUGUGGUUUAAUUCGAUGAUACGCGAGGAACCUUACCUGGGUUUAAAUGGGAAAUGUCGUAUUUGGAAACAGAUAUUCUCUUCGGAGCGUUUUUCAAGGUGCUGCAUGGUUGUCGUCAGCUCGUGCCGUGAGGUGUCGGCUCAAGUGCCAUAACGAGCGCAACCCUUGCCGCCAGUUGCCAUCAGGUGAUGCUGGGCACUCUGGCGGGACUGCCACCGCAAGGUGUGAGGAGGGGGGGGAUGACGUCAAAUCAGCACGGCCCUUACGUCCGGGGCGACACACGUGUUACAAUGGCGGCCACAGAGGGAAGCUACCCCGCGAGGGGAUGCGGAUCUCGAAAAGCCGUCCCAGUUCGGACUGGAGUCUGCAACCCGACUCCACGAAGUUGGAUUCGCUAGUAAUCGCGCAUCAGCCAUGGCGCGGUGAAUACGUUCCCGGGCCUUGUACACACCGCCCGUCAAGCCAUGGAAGCCGCGGGCGCCUGAAGUCCGUGACCGGAAGGAGCGGCCUAGGGCGAAAGUGGUAACUGGGGCUAAGUCGUAACAAGGUAGCCGUACCGGA